GCCGGGCGUGGUCGAGCGGGGCGAGGUAGCCGAGUUCGAUGUACUUGGGCAGGUAGCUGUCGCCGCCCAGCACCAUCAGGUCGUAGCCGAUGCCCUGCCC
rnacentral:tRNA from 1 species